GACAGAGGGUGCAAACGUUGUUCGGAAUACUGGGCGUAAAGCGAAGUGUAGGCGGUGUGGUAAGUCGGAUGUGAAAGCCCCGGGCUCAACCCGGGAAGUGCACUCGAUACUGCCACGCUAGAGUAUCGGAGAGGUUGAUGGAAUUCUCGGUGUAGAGGUGAAAUUCGUAGAUAUCGAGAGGAACACCGGUGGCGAAGGCGGCCAACUGGACGAAUACUGACGCUGAGACUCGAAAGCGUGGGGAGCAAACAGG
rnacentral:rRNA from 1 species